CUGACCCUCAGCUCAGAGGCAGGGUGUAGGAUGGAGCUCAGGCACAUGCAGUGGCCCCAAAGGCAUGUCCUGUUUUAUAUUCUUGGCUACAGUUGUGAGAUGGAGACAGUGUCUAGAGAACAAAGUCUGGAGCCCUUCUGUGGAGUAGAACGUUUGGAAAUUCGGUCACCUGUCUGCAAAUGUCUGCCUGUGCAGUGGCACUUCGUCCAGGAGCAGGUGAAGCUUGUUUAGACAUUGGUUACAGACUCUGUAUCUUUUUAACUCCUUAAGCACAGUUUUUCUGAUCUCA